AACGAACGCUGGCGGCAUGCCUAACGCAUGCAAGUCGAACGAGACCUUCGGGUCUAGUGGCGCACGGGUGCGUAACGCGUGGGAACCUGCCCUUAGGUUCGGAAUAACUCCCCGAAAGGGGUGCUCAUACCGGUUAAUGUCUUCGGACCAAAGAUUUAUCGCCUUUGGAUGGGCCCGCGUUGGAUUAGCUAGUUGGUAGGGUAAAAGCCUACCAAGGCGACGUUCCAUAGCUGGUCUGAGAGGAUGAUCAGCCACACUGGGACUGAGACACGGCCCAGACUCGUACGGGAGGCAGCAGUGGGGAAUAUUGGACAAUGGGCGAAAGCCUGAUCCAGCAAUGCCGCGUGAGUGAUGAAGGCCUUAGGGUUGUAAAGCUCUUUUACCCGGGAUGAUAAUGACAGUACCGGGAGAAUAAGCGCCGGCUAACUCCGUG
rnacentral:rRNA from 1 species